UACGAAGGGGGCUAGCGUUGUUCGGAAUCACUGGGCUUAAAGGGCGCGUAGGCGGGCCCGCAAGUCAGGGGUGAAAUCCCACGGCUCAACCGUGGAAGUGCCUUUGAUACUGUGGGCCUCGAGGGAGGUAGGGGCGUGCGGAACUUCCGGUGGAGCGGUGAAAUGCGUAGAUAUCGGAAGGAACACCGGUGGCGAAAGCGGCGCGCUGGACCUCUUCUGACGCUGAGGCGCGAAAGCCAGGGGAGCAAACGGG
rnacentral:rRNA from 1 species